rnacentral:rRNA from 1 species
GCCUAUGAAGGACGUGGCUGGCUGCGUGAAGCCGCGGGGAGUUGCCGACCGAGCGUUGAUCCGCGGAUGUCCGAAUGGGGAAACCCGGCACCUGUGAUGGGGUGUCACCCUGGUCUGAAUUCAUAGGGCCAGUGGAGGGUACCGAGGGAACUGAAACAUCUCAGUACCUCGAGGAGAAGAAAGCGAUUGCGACUCCCUGAGUAGCGGCGAGCGAAACGGGAAG